rnacentral:lncRNA from 1 species
UGAAUGAAUCCAUUAUCAGAGAGUAUCAAUUGAAGUUGAAGAUCAAGUUCUUGAAGAUGAUGAACAAGUUUACCAUGAGAAUCAUAUUAGUGUUGUUAAUUGGAUUGGUUAUAUCAAAUGUAAUAAAUUAGUUGAUUAGGUUAGGUUGUUUAUGAGAGGUUUGUUUGUGUUAUGUUUAUUUGUGCAAUGUAAUAUUCUGUUAAUGUUGUGUGAACUACAAUGCAAUAUAAUUGACUAUGUUAAGUUGAAUGAAGAUUAUUGUUGUUGAA